UUUAUUUAUGAAACUGAAUAUAUGAUAAUCUCUUAUUAUUCUGGCUUGUUAUACUUUGUGUGAAAAAUUCUUUCAGGUUAGAUAGAAAAACUGAUGAACGAAGAACGAACUAGACAAGAAACUGUCAAUAGUGCAGUUUACUUCAAUUUGUGAUUAUACGUACAUGCAUAUCUCCGGAGAUGAAAAAUGAACGAGGCUAACGGUAGAUGACGCAUCGGACGAGUAUUGAUGGUGUUUCAUAUUAUUUUCAAUCUGGAUGAGAAGAAUUGAACUUUUUGGUCGAACUACUUAGCUUUUCGAACACACAUUCACACAUAUAUAAAUCUUUGUAGACGAUGAAAAAUAAACAAGGCCAACGGUAGAUGGUGAAUCGGACGAGUAUGCCGUCGUUACGUUCCUCUAGAGAAAAUUUCAUGUGGAUGUUUACAAAGCGCAGUUUCAUAUUGAAGUUAAAGAAAGUGUGCAAAAUGAAAAGCACGCUCGCCUACCUUAAAGAUGCUUCAUCUUGCGGAAAAAACACUUCAUUCUUUCUAAAAAUCGUUGAAGUUUCGUCUUCAACCUGUGUGACCUGUGUGAAAGUGAUGAAAAUGUUUGUAUGAGUCUUGGCGGUUCUUUUAAUAUCAUGUAUUUUUUUUUAACUUUUUUCGCGCAGCGUCUAUGUUUUUUUCCAACUUGACGAUUUUUUUGCUUUUAAAGCAUUUUUUGGGGAUGUCAUUCUUUUUUUUCAAUUUUCAAAUUGAUUUUUUUCUCUAGUUUGGUGGGUUUUACUCAGUCACUAAUUUCACUUGCAAGUCACUUUGUUCACUAUUUCGGCGAAAAAGACCAAAUUUCAAAGAUUUGUCGUGUAAAAAAGGAAAAGUGCAAAAUUUUAGGAAAUGAUCAAUAUUUUUCAUGAUAAUCCUGAAUCGUCAUUUAAAAAAAAAAAUAAAAAUGAACUAUUCUACAUUGAAAAUGCAAGCCGAUGUGAUUGGAUAGAGUCGAUAUUUUCUAAACUGUACAAAAGUAGAUCGAAAGAUAAGGCAAAAAUUUAUCAUCUGUCAAAAUUUCAAGUGCUAAAGUGCCUUUUUCGAUUUUUGGUGAAUUUUUGAAAAUCUAAUUGAGGCUAAAAAUGAGGGAAAAAAUCAAAUGAUUUUGAAGCUUCCAGCCACUCUUUGGAAAUUUCAAUUUUCCAAAAAACGCCGUACAACCUUUCAAAAAGUCGCUAGAGCCUCACUGAGGCUCCAAAACGACUUGAAAUCCACCAGCAGUUGACUUCGUUGCGUAUUGAAAGUAGUUUGCAGAAUGAAUUUCGGCUUUCCAUCUCCAUUGACGAAAUUUUGGAAAAUUUCAAGGUUCAAAAAUCUACUGGAGGCUCCAGUAAUUUUCAAAAGGUCGCUAGAGGUGGAGAGGCUCCAAAACUACUUGAAAUCCACCUGCAGUCGACUUCGUAGCGUAUUGGAAUUAGUUUGCAGAAUAAAUGUCGUGAAAUUUUGUGGGAAUUUCGGGUUUCAAAAAUCUGCUAGUUGCUCGAGAACUGCUCAAAACGGGUUGAAACAGUUUCCAAUCACUUUGGCGUGUCAAAAAUAGGGUAUAUCUCAAAUUUCAGUUUUCUUGGUCAAUUUGGUAAACUUUAGAUUUUUUUCCUCAUUUUUGGCCUAAAUUUGAUUUUUAACAAUUCACCAAAAAUCGAAAAAGGCACUUCAGCACGCAUUUCUCGGGUUGUGGUUGUGGUUGGGGGGGGGGUCGACUCAAAAAAUUUUUUGGAAUGGUUUUACACCUAUACUAACAUCUUGGGUGAGUUUCAUAAAAAUUGGAGAAAAUGCGGAUUGCACUAUCUCAUCCUCAAACGCUCUUUUGUUGUUUUGCAGGUGCAAUUUUUGGUAUUAGUAGCUCAGUCUGUUCAAAAUAAUUUUGCAGAAACCAUUUUAAUUCUGCAUGCCAUUGUAUGUAUCAAACGUUGUACAGUGGUCUGAUAGAAGUACUGUCCAAAAGAAUAUGCCUCGCGCAUUUCGCAAGUACCACAUUUUGAGGAGCAUAGCAAUGAGACAGUUUUUUUUUUUUGAAAUUCAUUUUAGUGGAAUGAGUGUUUUUUUACAAUCACCCAUUCAUAUGUUACACUUUUCUGUUAUCUGCAUGUGUGGUUGUUAAUAGCUUUAUUAAAGCAAUAAAAUGAUUAGAUCCUCGAAUUGAAGCCUCGUUCAUUUUAAAAAAGGAAAAAUGUAAAACGGGUGGAUAUCAAUCUUGGCAACCUUUUUACGGGUGCAUAUCAUUCCGACCUGAAUUAUCUCUUAGGAAAUGCUGCAUUCUCACAUCAAUAAUACAUUUUUGACGUUGAGUAAUGCGAACGCAUAGCCUGUGAACAAUGUUUAAUUAAAAAAUUGUAAUCGACAACCCUUUUUUUCGUGUGUGUGUGCAGAAUGACAUUGGAUGGAGAUAAUUUCUCGAAAGUGACGUAUUUAUGUGCGCGGAAAAGGCGUUUCAGGUAUCUGAAUGGACGGUGCCGUGGUGUCGGAUUAAAAUAUAGCACCACCGAUUCGCCUACAACGGAAAACCGCGCGGUUUGUGUACACUCUAGGAGGUCUUUCUAGAAUACCAUUACAGAGCCGCGUAUACUGGCAUCAGCAUCAACGUUCGAAUCGAAUCUGUCCGAACUUAACCAUUUACAUACGAAUUGAUAACACCAUUAUAGUUUUUAAUUUAAAAUAAAAGAUGAUUAGAUCUUUAAA